rnacentral:rRNA from 1 species
GACGAACGCUGGCGGCGUGCUUAACACAUGCAAGUCGAACGGAAAGGCCCUGCUUUUGUGGGGUGCUCGAGUGGCGAACGGGUGAGUAACACGUGAGUAACCUGCCCUUGACUUUGGGAUAACUUCAGGAAACUGGGGCUAAUACCGGCUAGGAGCUCCUGCUGCAUGGUGGGGGUUGGAAAGUUUCGGCGGUUGGGGAUGGACUCGCGGCUUAUCAGCUUGUUGGUGGGGUAGUGGCUUACCAAGGCUUUGACGGGUAGCCGGCCUGAGAGGGUGACCGGCCACAUUGGGACUGGGAUACGGCCCAGACUCCUACGGGAGGCAGCAGUGGGGAAUAUUGCACAAUGGGCGGAAGCCUGAUGCAGCAACGCCGCGUGCGGGAUGACGGCCUUCGGGUUGUAAACCGCUUUCGCCUGUGACGAAGCGUGAGUGACGGUAAUGGGUAAAGAAGCACCGGCUAACUACGUG